rnacentral:rRNA from 1 species
CAGGGAUUGCCUCAGUAACGGCGAGUGAAGCGGCAGCAGCUCAAAUUUGAAAUCUGACCCCCCCGGGGCCCGAGUUGUAAUUUGCAGAGGGUGCUUCGGGCGCGGCGCCGGUCUAAGUUCCUUGGAACAGGACGUCGUAGAGGGUGAGAAUCCCGUAUGCGACCGGCGGCCAAGCCCAUGUGAAGUCCCUUCGACGAGUCGAGUUGUUUGGGAAUGCAGCUCAAAACGGGUGGUAAAUUUCAUCUAAAGCUAAAUACCGGCCAGAGACCGAUAGCGGACAAGUAGAGUGAUCGAAAGAUGAAAAGCACUUUGGAAAGAGAGUCAAACAGUACGUGAAAUUGUUGAAAGGGAAGCGCUUGCGAUCAGACCGGUCCGGGGGCGAUCAGCCGCGGCUCGCCCGCGGUGCACUCGCCCCCGAUCCGGCCAGCAUCGGUCUGGGCGGCGGGAGAAAAGUCCCGGGAACGUAGCUUCCCUCGGGGAGUCUUAUAGCCCGGGUCGCCAUGCCGCCCGCCCGGACCGAGGACCGCGCUUCGGCUAGGAUGCUGGCGUAAUGGUCGCAAGCGACCCGUCUUGAAACACGGACCAAGGAGUCUAACAUCUAUGCGAGUGUUUGGGUGUCAAACCCGGGCGCGGAAUGAAAGUGAACGGAGGUGGGAACCCGUCGCACGGCGCACCAUCGACCGAUCCAGAUGUCUUCGGAUGGAUUUGAGUACGAGCAUAGCUGUUGGGACCCGAAAGAUGGUGAACUAUGCCCGGAUAGGGUGAAGCCAGAGGAAACUCUGGUGGAGGCUCGCAGCGGUUCUGACGUGCAAAUCGAUCGUCAAAUCUAGGCAUAGGGGCGAAAGACCAAUCGAACCAUCUAG